rnacentral:rRNA from 1 species
UNAGACAUAGUGAGGAUUGACAGAUUGAGAGCUCUUUCUUGAUUCUAUGGGUGGNGGUGCAUGGCCGUUCUUAUUUGGUGGGUUGCCCUUGUCAGGUUGAUUCCGGUAACAAANAANACCUCAACCUGCUAAAUAGUCACGAUCGAUUUUUUCGGUUGGCCGACUUCUUAAAGGGACUGUUGGCGACUAGCCAAUGGAAGUUUGAGGCAAUAA